UAAAGCGAUUCAGCGGAUGACGAUUGACGGAGCGAAGCGACGUCAAAGCGUAUACAAAGUCGAGUCGGUUUAAGGAUACGUUCGUUGGGUAGGGGAGCGUUCUGUAAGCCUGCGAAGGUGUGUCGUGAGGCAUGCUGGAGGUAUCAGAAGUGCGAAUGCUGACAUAAGUAACGAUAAAGCGGGUGAAAAGCCCGCUCGCCGGAAGACCAAGGGUUCCUGUCCAACGUUAAUCGGGGCAGGGUGAGUCGACCCCUAAGGCGAGGCCGAAAGGCGUAGUCGAUGGGAAACGGGUUAAUAUUCCCGUACUUGGUGUUACUGCGAAGGGGGGACGGAGAAGGCUAUGUUGGCCGGGCGACGGUUGUCCCGGUUUAAGCGUGUAGGUGUGUGUUCCAGGUAAAUCCGGUUCACUUUAACACUGAGGCGUGAUGACGAGGCACUACGGUGCUGAAGCAACAAAUGCCCUGCUUCCAGGAAAAGCCUCUAAGCAUCAGGUAACAUCAAAUCGUACCCCAAACCGACACAGGUGGUCAGGUAGAGAAUACCAAGGCGCUUGAGAGAACUCGGGUGAAGGAACUAGGCAAAAUGGUGCCGUAACUUCGGGAGAAGGCACGCUGACACGUAGGUGAAGUGAUUUACUCAUGGAGCUGAAGUCAGUCGAAGAUACCAGCUGGCUGCAACUGUUUAUUAAAAACACAGCACUGUGCAAACACGAAAGUGGACGUAUACGGUGUGACGCCUGCCCGGUGCCGGAAGGUUAAUUGAUGGGGUCAGCGCAAGCGAAGCUCCUGAUCGAAGCCCCGGUAAACGGCGGCCGUAACUAUAACGGUCCUAAGGUAGCGAAAUUCCUUGUCGGGUAAGUUCCGACCUGCACGAAUGGCGUAAUGAUGGCCAGGCUGUCUCCACCCGAGACUCAGUGAAAUUGAACUCGCUGUGAAGAUGCAGUGUACCCGCGGCAAGACGGAAAGACCCCGUGAACCUUUACUAUAGCUUGACACUGAACAUUGAGCCUUGAUGUGUAGGAUAGGUGGGAGGCUUUGAAGUGUGGACGCCAGUCUGCAUGGAGCCGACCUUGAAAUACCACCCUUUAAUGUUUGAUGUUCUAACGUGGACCCGUGAUCCGGGUUGCGGACAGUGUCUGGUGGGUAGUUUGACUGGGGCGGUCUCCUCCUAAAGAGUAACGGAGGAGCACGAAGGUUGGCUAAUCCUGGUCGGACAUCAGGAGGUUAGUGCAAUGGCAUAAGCCAGCUUGACUGCGAGCGUGACGGCGCGAGCAGGUGCGAAAGCAGGUCAUAGUGAUCCGGUGGUUCUGAAUGGAAGGGCCAUCGCUCAACGGAUAAAAGGUACUCCGGGGAUAACAGGCUGAUACCGCCCAAGAGUUCAUAUCGACGGCGGUGUUUGGCACCUCGAUGUCGGCUCAUCACAUCCUGGGGCUGAAGUAGGUCCCAAGGGUAUGGCUGUUCGCCAUUUAAAGUGGUACGCGAGCUGGGUUUAGAACGUCGUGAGACAGUUCGGUCCCUAUCUGCCGUGGGCGCUGGAGAACUGAGGGGGGCUGCUCCUAGUACGAGAGGACCGGAGUGGACGCAUCACUGGUGUUCGGGUUGUCAUGCCAAUGGCACUGCCCGGUAGCUAAAUGCGGAAGAGAUAAGUGCUGAAAGCAUCUAAGCACGAAACUUGCCCCGA
rnacentral:rRNA from 1 species